rnacentral:rRNA from 1 species
AGUGAACGCUGGCGGCGUGCCUAAUACAUGCAAGUCGAACGGAAUUUAAAAGAGCUUGCUCUUUUAAAUUUAGUGGCGCACGGGUGAGUAAUAUAUAGCUAAUCUGCCCCUUGCUGGAGGACAACAGUUAGAAAUGACUGCUAAUACUCCAUACUCCUUUUUACCAUAAGAUAAAUCGGGAAAGAAUUUCGGCAAGGGAUGAGACUAUAUCGUAUCAGCUAGUCGGUGGGGUAACGGCCUACCGAGGCUAUGACGCGUAACUGGUCUGAGAGGAUGAUCAGUCACAUUGGAACUGAGACACGGUCCAAACUCCUACGGGAGGCAGCAGUAGGGAAUAUUGCGCAAUGGGGGAAACCCUGACGCAGCAACGCCGCGUGGAGGAUGACACUUUUCGGAGCGUAAACUCCUUUUGUUAGGGAAGAAUA